CGCGGAGAAGGGCAAGACGAAACCCCAAGCAACCUGACCUACCUCCCCGCACCAACCCGAAAGGGCCGACCCUGGACCACGAAGGUUCCCAGGCUCGUGGCCUACGAGCGCCAGCUCCCACACAGCUCCGGGGCAAGAGGGGAUUCCCGCAACUGAGACACUAUGGCACUACCCAGAUGAGACGGAACUCAAGCGUGAGGCCCAAACCUGAACGGCAGCAGACAACUAGAGGUCACCGGGCCUGCAGCGAUAAGACUAACAUUCUGGCACAAGCUCGAGGGAUGAACUCCCCCAUCGCCAUUACAGCCCUAAGUGACUGCCUAGAUGUCUCCAU